UGACUGUCCCCAGGGCACAAACCUGACACCAGAACCUCUUCUGGCUCCCUCUAUUUCGGGACAAGAUGUUUAAGAAGAGCAAGCGGACAAUGAACUCGUGGCUGUUGUUGGAGCCGCAGAGCCUGAAGAAAUUAAAUCAGGCACACCAGCAGCACCAGAACCUCUUCUGGCCCCCUCUGAUUCUGGACAGGAGGUUGAAGAGAAAGAAGUGGAGAAGGAACCUGUGGCUGUUGGAGAAGUAAUGCCUGAAGGAAUGAAAUCAAUCCUCAAGAGCUCUGCAAUGGCAGGUGCUGCUGCAGCAACAUAGUCUGAAGUCUCCUUUGCCAACACUGAAAUGCCUCCACUGGCAAAGGAGGCAGAGUAAAGAAGGACUUGGAAAAUAGCCAACAUAUCUGUGGAGGAACAAGCAACAGAAUGGCAGCAUUUCAAUCUUGCAGAGACCUGUAUGGUGCUUGAGGAAAACACCAACUUAUGGACUUCAAUGUUUUCACCCCAGUUCUGAACCCAGUUUAUUGUACCCACACAUAUAUCUCUGUAGCAAUCCCCUUGAUUUCUGCUACCCCAGACAUGUCUGAACUUGUCCCCAGUUAUUUCCACCAGAAGUUCUUUAAUCCCUUACUCUCCCCUGCUUUCCCGCUCAUCCCACACUGAUUGGCCAGAAAAUGCCGCAGUGCGGAGUGAGCUCCCACUGGCCCCAGACACCUGACUCCUCCCACGUUCCUCCCUCCUUCUCCCUACCUUCCAAUCCUGGUGCACCCUGAGAUGUCCAUCCCAUGCUCCGCCCCGGGUA